rnacentral:rRNA from 1 species
AGUGAACGCUGGCGGUAGGCCUAACACAUGCAAGUCGAACGGCAGCACAGUAAGAGCUUGCUCUUACGGGUGGCGAGUGGCGGACGGGUGAGGAAUACAUCGGAAUCUACUUUUUCGUGGGGGAUAACGUAGGGAAACUUACGCUAAUACCGCAUACGACCUACGGGUGAAAGCAGGGGAUCUUCGGACCUUGCGCGAUUGAAUGAGCCGAUGUCGGAUUAGCUAGUUGGCGGGGUAAAGGCCCACCAAGGCGACGAUCCGUAGCUGGUCUGAGAGGAUGAUCAGCCACACUGGAACUGAGACACGGUCCAGACUCCUACGGGAGGCAGCUGUGGGGAAUAUUGGACAAUGGGCGCAAGCCUGAUCCAGCCAUACCGCGUGGGUGAAGAAGGCCUUCGGGUUGUAAAGCCCUUUUGUUGGGAAAGAAAAGCAGCGGGUUAAUACCCCGCUGUUCUGACGGUACCCAAAGAAUAAGCACCGGCUAACUUCGUG